rnacentral:rRNA from 1 species
CUGGCGGCGUGCUUAACACAUGCAAGUCGAACGGAAAGGCCCUGCUUUUGUGGGGUGCUCGAGUGGCGAACGGGUGAGUAACACGUGAGUAACCUGCCCUUGACUUUGGGAUAACUUCAGGAAACUGGGGCUAAUACCGGAUAGGAGCUCCUGCUGCAUGGUGGGGGUUGGAAAGUUUCGGCGGUUGGGGAUGGACUCGCGGCUUAUCAGCUUGUUGGUGGGGUAGUGGCUUACCAAGGCUUUGACGGGUAGCCGGCCUGAGAGGGUGACCGGCCACAUUGGGACUGAGAUACGGCCCAGACUCCUACGGGAGGCAGCAGUGGGGAAUAUUGCACAAUGGGCGGAAGCCUGAUGCAGCAACGCCGCGUGCGGGAUGACGGCCUUCGGGUUGUAAACCGCUUUCGCCUGUGACGAAGCGUGAGUGACGGUAAUGGGUAAAGAAGCACCGGCUAACUACGUGCCAGCAGCCGCGGUGAUACGUAGGGUGCGAGCGUUGUCCGGAUUUAUUGGGCGUAAAGGGCUCGUAGGUGGUUGAUCGCGUCGGAAGUGUAAUCUUGGGGCUUAACCCUGAGCGUGCUUUCGAUACGGGUUGACUUGAGGAAGGUAGGGGAGAAUGGAAUUCCUGGUGGAGCGGUGGAAUGCGCAGAUAUCAGGAGGAACACCAGUGGCGAAGGCGGUUCUCUGGGCCUUUCCUGACGCUGAGGAGCGAAAGCGUGGGGAGCGAACAGGCUUAGAUACCCUGGUAGUCCACGCUGUAAACGGUGGGUACUAGGUGUGGGGUCCAUUCCACGGGUUCCGUGCCGUAGCUAACGCUUUAAGUACCCCGCCUGGGGAGUACGGCCGCAAGGCUAAAACUCAAAGGAAUUGACGGGGCCCCGCACAAGCGGCGGAGCAUGCGGAUUAAUUCGAUGCAACGCGUAGAACCUUACCUGGGUUUGACAUGGAUCGGGAGUGCUCAGAGAUGGGUGUGCCUCUUUUGGGGUCGGUUUACAGGUGGUGCAUGGCUGUCGUCAGCUCGUGUCGUGAGAUGUUGGGUUAAGUCCCACAACGAGCGCAACCCUUGUUCACUGUUGCCAGCACGUUAUGGUGGGGACUCAGUGGAGACCGCCGGGGUCAACUCGGAGGAAGGUGGGGAUGACGUCAAGUCAUCAUGCCCCUUAUGUCCAGGGCUUCACGCAUGCUACAAUGGCUGGUACAGAGAGUGGCGAGCCUGUGAGGGUGAGCGAAUCUCGGAAAGCCGGUCUCAGUCCGGAUUGGGGUCUGCAACUCGACCUCAUGAAGUCGGAGUCGCUAGUAAUCGCAGAUCAGCAACGCUGCGGUGAAUACGUUCCCGGGGCUUGUACACACCGCCCGUCAAGUCAUGAAAGUUGGUAACACCCGAAGCCGGUGGCCUAACCGUUGUGGGGGAGCCGUCGAAGGUGGGACUGGUGAUUAGGACUAA